CUAAGCAUAUCAAUAAGCGGAGGAAAAGAAACCAACAGGGAUUGCCCUAGUAACGGCGAGUGAAGCGGCAACAGCUCAAAUUUGAAAUCUGGCUUUCGGGCCCGAGUUGUAAUUUGUAGAGGAUGAUUUUGAUGCGGUGCCUUCCGAGUUCCCUGGAACGGGACGCCAUAGAGGGUGAGAGCCCCGUCUGGUUGGAUGCCAAAUCUCUGUAAAUCUCCUUCGACGAGUCGAGUAGUUUGGGAAUGCUGCUCUAAAUGGGAGGUAUAUGUCUUCUAAAGCUAAAUACCGGCCAGAGACCGAUAGCGCACAAGUAGAGUGAUCGAAAGAUGAAAAGCACUUUGAAAAGAGAGUUAAAAAGUACGUGAAAUUGUUGAAAGGGAAGCGUUUAUGACCAGACUUGGGCUUGGUUAAUCAUCUGGGGUUCUCUCCAGUGCACUUUUCCAGUCCAGGCCAGCAUCAGUUUUCGCCGGGGGAUAAAGGCUUCGGGAAUGUGGCUCCCCUCGGGGAGUGUUAUAGCCCGUUGUGUAAUACCCUGGUGGGGACUGAGGUUCGCGCUUCUGCAAGGAUGCUGGCGUAAUGGUCAUCAACGACCCGUCUUGAAACACGGACCAAGGAGUCGUCUUCGUAUGCGAGUGUUCGGGUGUCAAACCCCUACGCGUAAUGAAAGUGAACGCAGGUGAGAGCUUCGGCGCAUCAUCGACCGAUCCUGAUGUUCUCGGAUGGAUUUGAGUAAGAGCAUACGGGGCCGGACCCGAAAGAAGGUGAACUAUGCCUGUGUAGGGUGAAGCCAGAGGAAACUCUGGUGGAGGCUCGCAGCGGUUCUGACGUGCAAAUCGAUCGUCAAACAUGGGCAUGGGGGCGAAAGACUAAUCGA
rnacentral:rRNA from 1 species